rnacentral:rRNA from 1 species
GACGAACGCUGGCGGCGUGCCUAAUACAUGCAAGUUGAGCGCUGAAGGUUGGUACUUGUACCAACUGGAUGAGCAGCGAACGGGUGAGUAACGCGUGGGGAAUCUGCCUUUGAGCGGGGGACAACAUUUGGAAACGAAUGCUAAUACCGCAUAAAAACUUUAAACACAAGUUUUAAGUUUGAAAGAUGCAAUUGCAUCACUCAAAGAUGAUCCCGCGUUGUAUUAGCUAGUUGGUGAGGUAAAGGCUCACCAAGGCGAUGAUACAUAGCCGACCUGAGAGGGGGAUCGGCCCAAUGGGGCCUGGACACCGCCCCAAACUCCUACGGGAGGCAGCAGUAGGGAAUCUUCGGCAAUGGACGAAAGUCUGACCGAGCAACGCCGCGUGAGUGAAGAAGGUUUUCGGAUCGUAAAACUCUGUUGGUAGAGAAGAACGUUGGUGAGAGUGGAAAGCUCAUCAAGUGACGGUAACUACCCAGAAAGGGACGGCUAACUACGUG